UAUUCACUAUUUCACAUGAUAACAAAGGUAUUCAUGGAUACAACAUAUUAACUAUUUCACAUGAUAACAAAGGUAUUCAUGUAUACAACAUAUUCACUAUUUCACAUGAUAACAAAGGUAUUCAUGGAUACAACAUAUUAACUAUUUCACAUGAUAACAAAGGUAUUCAUGGAUACAACAUAUUAACUAUUGCACAUGAUAACAAAGGUAUUCAUGUAUACAACAUAUUCACUAUUUCACAUGAUAACAAAGGUAUUCAUGGAUACAACAUAUUAACUAUUUCACAUGAUAACAAAGGUAUUCAUGUAUACAACAUAUUCACUAUUUCACAUGAUAACAAAGGUAUUCAUGGAUAC